GACGAACGCUGGCGGCGUGCUUAACACAUGCAAGUCGAGCGGCGCGGCGCACGGGUGAGUAUUACGUGAGUAACCUGCCCUCAACUGUGGGAUAAGCCUGGGAAACUGGGUCUAAUACUGCAUAGUUGGGGAUGGGCUCGCGGCCUAUCAGCUGGUUGGUGGGGUGAUGGCCUACCAAGGCGGUGCCGGGUAGCCGGCCUGAGAGGGUUGUCGGCCACAUUGGGACGUAGAUACGGCCCAGACUCCUACGGGAGGCAGCAGGGGGGGAUAUUGCACAAUGGGCGCAAGCCUGAUGCAGCGACGCCGCGUGAGGGAUGAAGGCUUUCGGGUUGUAAACCUCUUGCGGUACAGAACGGGUAUGUGCAGAAGAAGCGCCGGCUAACUACGUGCCAGCAGCCGCGGUAAUAC
rnacentral:rRNA from 1 species